GAAAUCAGUUCAGCACUAAGUCACUUUGUCUAUAUGGCAAAUGUGAGAUGCAGUGUAUGGAACAUCAAUAUUCUAGUAUGAGAAAUUAACGAUUUAAGUCCUUCUUAAAUGAGGCCAUUUACCCAUAGAGGGUGCCAGGCCCGUAUAACGUUAAUGAUUAUUAGAUGGUGUUUCCAAAGAGUCGUGUUGCUUGAUAGUGCAGCACUAAGUGGGUGGUAAACUCCAUCUAAAACUAAAUAUAACCAUGAGACCGAUAGUAAACAAGUACCGUGAGGGAAAGUUGAAAAGAACUCUGAAUAGAGAGUUAAAUAGUACGUGAAACUGCUUAGAGGUUAAGCCCGAUGAACCUGAAUAUCCGUUAUGGAAAAUUCAUCAUUAGAGUUGUAAUAUUUAAACAAUAUUAUAAUAAUAGUGUGCAUUUUUUCCAUAUAAGGACAUUGUAAUCUAUUAGUAACAAAAAUUUAUCAAAAAAUUUUGGAUAAGAGCUUAUUUAAAUUAAAAUGCUUGCGUUUUAACAUAAAAUGAAUGUCAUAAAUUUGAUAAAGUGCUGAUAGAUUUAUAUGAGUACAGUGUGUUAAUUUUUCGGAAUUAUAUAAUGGCAUAAUUAUCAUUGAUUUUUGUGUUUAUUAUAUGCACUUGUAUGAUUAACAAUGCGAAAGA
rnacentral:rRNA from 1 species